GAAUAAUAAUAUCAUAUUAAUCCAGAGGAACGCAUAUUAGAGAGAACAGGCGCGGAACCCUGUAUCGAGUGCCCUUCUUUGCAGAUUCAUAUCAGCAGAGAAACUGUAUUGUGGAGUUUUACUUAUAUGCCAUUGGAACGAGGGACAAAUUCUUCUUCCGAGAAGGCAAGUAAGACGGUGAAGCAUAGCCAGGAGACUUAUUAAUGAGAUAUACACCUG
rnacentral:ncRNA from 2 species